UACGGAGGGUGCAAGCGUUAUCCGGAUUCACUGGGUUUAAAGGGUGCGUAGGAGGGCAGGUAAGUCAGUGGUGAAAUCUCCAAGCUUAACUUGGAACUGCCGUUGAUACUAUCUGUCUUGAAUACCGUGGAGGUGAGCGGAAUAUGUCAUGUAGCGGUGAAAUGCUUAGAUAUGACAUAGAACACCAAUUGCGAAGGCAGCUCGCUACACGAAUAUUGACUCUGAGGCACGAAAGCGUGGGGAUUAAACAGGA
rnacentral:rRNA from 1 species